rnacentral:rRNA from 1 species
AUUGAACGCUGGCGGCAGGCCUAACACAUGCAAGUCGAACGAGCGGCGGACGGGUGAGUAAUGUAUGGGAAACUGCCCGAUAGAGGGGGAUAACUACUGGAAACGGUAGCUAAUACCGCAUACCAUCGGAUGUGCCCAGAUGGGAUUAGCUAGUAGGUGGGGUAACGGCUUACCUAGGCGACGAUCCCGAGCUGGUCUGAGAGGAUGACCAGCCACACUGGAACUGAGACACGGUCCAGACUCCUACGGGAGGCAGCAGUGGGGAAUAUUGCACAAUGGGCGCAAGCCUGAUGCAGCCAUGCCGCUUGUAUGAAGAAGGCCUUAGGGUUGUAAAGUACUUUCAGCUAGGAGGCGUUACUCGCAGAAGAAGCACCGGCUAACUCCGUGCCAGCAGCCGCGGUAAUAC